UGGCCGCGUAGCUCAAUUAGGCAGAGCAGUUGACUCUUAAUCAAUUGGUUGCAGGUUCGAGUGGAGCUGUCCGGUCGG
rnacentral:tRNA from 1 species